GAGGAAUUCUUAAAGAAGGAAAACAGCUGGGAAACACAUCUAUGUCUCCUACAAAGGAGCUCAUUCUGGCAGCUAACCUUGUGCUGGAAAGAGUGGAGUACUCAGCUGCAUACUCCUUACAACAAGGAUCCAGGAGCAGACUGUUUUUCUUGGUGUGGAUAUAAAAGCAGUUGUAAUCUCAGCUCAUGCCUGCCUUGCUACCAACCAACAUCAUUUCAUACUACCAUCAAUGCACCCAUCUCUCCAUCUGCAAGUAAGGUCCAAAUCUCAUAAAAGGGAGCAGGAGGUGGAUGGUGCUGCCCGCAUUCAAACUGCCUGCAAUCACUGCCCAAGACGCAGCUUCUUCUCUCCAUUGAUUUUACAGAUCAGAGCUCUGGAGAGGCAGCGCACCUUAGAUGUCACAACAAGCAAACUGAGCCAAGGAGCUAGAGCUGGCAAUCUCAGUACAGCUCUAAGAUGCUUCACUUCCUUUGAAAAACUGCUUAGCCAAGAUUGUCCUGACCUACUUCUCCUGGCUUCCCAACCAUCCCCUGGGCAGGAAAAACACCGGAAAACAGCAGGAUUCCAGAAAACCUGUCUUUACUCAGACCUUCCCAACACAGACACACUCACUCCUUGCAUUUGGUUGUGAUGUUUGUUAUUCUUCAGCAAAUCAGUCUAUCUUUGAUCCUGCUCAGCAGAUGGACAGACAGAAGAGGACUUUCCAGGACAGAUACUCUGUUGUUCUCAGCCCCCCUGGAGAGAUGGGGCUGGUUCUGCCCCUCAGGACACCCAAGGCCACUGAGGACUGGCAGGCCAUCCUGAGCAGACAGUGCUGAUCCUGGAACUCCAUUGUCUGUACUAUUAGAUCAUUAGAGCAAUCCCUGACCAAAUCACUUUCACAAAGAACUCCUGAGCAAUGUUCAGGAGUUAGCACAGGCUUGGGACCAUUCCUAAAGGGCAACUUAGAGGCAGCCACUCUGUUUUUGAGGGCAGAAGAGUUUAAUAGCAUGGAUGUCCACCUUCGAUACCAGUUUUCAGUGCCGGAGACCACAGCUAAGCACAUUAAAUCUACCAGGAUGCACUUAGCUUUGGGGCCUUAACAUAUCCCCUCACAAACAGUCAGAAAGUGUGGGAAAACACUGGCAAGAGAUAUCAUCAAUUCAGUGAUAGCCUUGGAAAGUACUGGUCCAGUUGUGUUUGGGAUAUCUGAGAUAUCCUUGUAUGGUUUGAGCCAAAAAACUGUGCCUUAGAUGCCACUUUGCUGUGAUAACUCCCUGCGUGGAAGACAGGUGUAGGUGCUGCUUACAGGAGAAAAAGUUUCUCUGUGAUUCUAUCCUUCUAAAAUCUGUUCUGUUCAGGAGGAGAAUGAGGCUGCUAAUUAUCUCAAUAACCUACUGAACUUCUGAAGCCUUGUCAGCUGUGGGGAAGUUUUCCUGUUUAUUUACAGGCUAGUCUGUUAUUCUUGUUCUUUCGACAGGAAAUAAGGGCAAGUGUUAUGCCCUUGCAGGCAGGGUGGCAUGAGAGGAGGAUGAGGAAAAUGGAGAUAGGGCAUAGAGGGGAAUACAGUAAGCAAAACAGGACAUGUGGUAUUGCAGAAAGUUUUCAAAAUGCCUGGAUCUUUUCAUUUUUAUCUAUCAGCUGUGGCACGGGCUUUCUACAUUAAAAAGGUUUGUCUCUACCAGCAUUGCAUUGCCAUCUCUUCAAGACACCAUUAUACUUUCCAGCAGUAGAGCUGUGUGGAAAGUCACCUCCCAAGGUUGUUUUGUUCAACACAAAUCCUUCUCAUCAUCCGGCUUUCUGUGUUUCAUUGAGUUCUACAAAAUAAGGACAGCAAGAAUAAAGCGUAACCAGAAGAGCCGUAGAGCUGCUCUUGCACUGUGAAGCCCCUCCAGAACUGGUCAAACACCAUCAGAAGCACAGCAGAGAGGUGGUGUGGAGCUUUUCUCUUUCAAGGACCAAAGGCCUUAGCUGAAGCCCACUGAAAUCAAAUGGACUUGAAAUGAAAUCAAACCCCGUUCUGUGGGCUUUGAAACCAGUGGCAAUAUCCCAUCUGAUAGAUGCCUCUAGUUAACACAUCUGCCUGUAGGUUUUCUGCCUUAAGUUGAGGAGAUAUUUCUUGUUCCACAAUUUGGGAACUCCAUGUGCUGCUAACAGUAAAAGAAACUAGCUCUAGAGCAUGAAUAUCUGUGUUUUGUCUGAAGGCUAAAAUCAUUUCAUUAGCUUCAGGGAAUCCUGCAGUAGUCAAGUAGGAUUUAGCUUUGUGAAAUGCUGAAGCCCCUUCAAAGUCUGCAGGAAAUCUGAGACUACAUUGUCCAUCCUCCCUCACAUCGCAGAAACACAAGUCCUAAUUACUAAGGUCUAUACUGGAACAUUUUCACUGUGCGGAUACAAGGGGAAAAUUCCCCACCCCUAGCUGACUUAGCUAUGCUGGCAAAACAAACAAACAAACAAAAAAACCCACAACCCCCACAACCCCAAGCAAACAAACACACGGUUAGGAAUGAACCCAGCAAAAGCCUGCCUUUUGCCAGUGUAAAUUAAGUCAUCCCAAGAGGUGGUCUAAAUAUGCUAGCAAAAAAACUCCUUUUGCCAGUAUAAGCUGUAUUUCCACAGGGGGCUUUGCUGCUUUUGCUGGCAAAGCUUAACAGUGUAAACCAGGGUUGCUUGAUACUGCCUUGUAAGCACAACUGGUAAAAAAUAAAGUAUGAUUAU